UCACCAGGUGAGAAAUUGAAUUGAAUUGGACGAGAUCGUGAGAAGGAUGAGGAACAAUGACGAGAUCUAUAGAAGGUUCCAAACGAACAGAAGCCCAAAAAUUUCCGAGGCUGAAGGAUAUAGUGUUCCCAAAAUAAACAUCGCUAGGGUUUCCAAGCAGUCCAACUCUAGCGUAAGACUUGUGCUCGAUCACUGCCGCCAUUGUUGCUUAUUGUAGGUGUUACUGCAGA
rnacentral:misc_RNA from 1 species